AUCUUGGGGAGUCUCACUGACUCUGUUUUACAGAAUCACCACCAUGUCCCUGUGAGGCAGUGUUUCCUCUAACUUGAGAAAUAUGGCUUCGUCUUUGUUUUGGAUGGCACGCUGGGUUUUGAAGGUGAAACCAGGAUCACCAGAAUGUGAUCUGGAUUUUGUGACUGGAGUUUGCAGAAGAGUUUUCAGAAACUCAAUAACAAGAGCUACAAGCUACAAACUGAAUCUUAGAGGAGUUCAACGUGAAGACGAGGUUCCAGCCCACAGAGAGCUCCUGGCUGAGCCACACAGCCCUGAAGCCAGCAGCUCCCACACAGACAUUGCAAGGAGGUGCAGGAGGAGGUCACUGCCUUGCAGCUUCCCAGACGUUUUCUUCCCUCUGGUUCCAUGUUUGUGUGCUGCAUUCCUGGUUACCUGCAUUCAUCAGCUCUGCUGUUGUAAUAGGCUAUUGCCUGCACGCUAAUAACCUCCUGUUCUUUAAUGCUCUCUUUCUAUUUAAUUAAUCUAUUUAUGAUAAUAGUAUGUCUCAUUUUGCGCUUUCACUCUAGAGGGUGUGUUUGUAUUAUCCCGCUGUAUAGCACUGACUGGCCCUAUUAUCAGUUAUCAUUAAAGGCAGCGGCCUGGCCUGCCAAUAAUU
rnacentral:lncRNA from 1 species